rnacentral:rRNA from 1 species
UAGGGAAUCUUCGGCAAUGGACGAAAGUCUGACCGAGCAACGCCGCGUGAGUGAAGAAGGUUUUCGGAUCGUAAAACUCUGUUGUUAGAGAAGAACAAGGACGUUAGUAACUGAACGUCCCCUGACGGUAUCUAACCAGAAAGCCACGGCUAACUACGUGCCAGCAGCCGCGGUAAUACGUAGGUGGCAAGCGUUGUCCGGAUUUAUUGGGCGUAAAGCGAGCGCAGGCGGUUUCUUAAGUCUGAUGUGAAAGCCCCCGGCUCAACCGGGGAGGGUCAUUGGAAACUGGGAGACUUGAGUGCAGAAGAGGAGAGUGGAAUUCCAUGUGUAGCGGUGAAAUGCGUAGAUAUAUGGAGGAACACCAGUGGCGAAGGCGGCUCUCUGGUCUGUAACUGACGCUGAGGCUAGGAAGCGUGGGGAGCAAACAGG